rnacentral:rRNA from 1 species
GGAGGAAUGAAAAAGAAUAAAUCUAUAAAAUUCUAGGUAAAUAAAUGAGAUGACAAUUUUUAUCUAUAUGUCUUGACUAAGUCACGUGCCAGCAGUCGCGGUAAUACGUGGAAGACUAGUGUUAUUCAUCUUAAUUGGGUUUAAAGGGUACCUAGACAGUCUUUAAAGCCUAAGACAGGGACUAAUAGACUAGAGUUUGAUGUGAGAAGAACGGAGUAUGGUGAGCGUAGAGAUAAAAUUCUGUCAUCCCACCUUAGAACUAUCGAAGGCGAAAGCAAUCUUUUAUAUAAAAACUGACGUUGAGGGACGAAGGCUCGGUAAAUAAAAAGGAUUAGAUACCCUAGUAGUAUGGGCAGACAAUGAUGAAUGUCAUACGUAAGUAGUAAGGUUACGUUUAACUCCGUUUUAUCCCUACCUAUAUAUUUAUGUAUAAAUGAAAGUGUAAGCAUUCCACCUCAAGAGUAAUGCGGCAACGCAUAAACUGAAAUCACUAGACCGCUUCUGAAAUCAGUAGUGAAGUAUGUUGUUUAAUUUGAUGAUCCACGGAAAAUCUUACCAUAAUUUGAAUAUUUAUAUAUUAAUAUAAUUACAGGCGUUGCACCGGCUGUCUCCAGUUAAUGUCGUGAGAUUUUGGUUAGUUCCAUUUAAUUAACGUAAACCCUUACUUUAUUUUUUAUAAAGUAGCGCAUCAGCAUAUUGAAUGUGAUAACAGGGACUAAGACAAGUCAUCAUGACCCUAACAUUGUGGGCUAUAGACGUGCCACGUAUUCCUAUACAAAAAGAUGCAAAAU